rnacentral:rRNA from 1 species
AAUGAACGCUGGCGGCAGGCCUAACACAUGCAAGUCGAGCGGAGCGGCGGACGGGUGAGUAAUGCCUAGGAAUCUACCUGGUAGUGGGGGAUACCGGCCGGAAACGGGCGCUAAUAACGCAUACUAGCAGAUGAGCCUAGGGCGGAUUAGCUAGUUGGUGGGGUAAAGGCCUACCAAGGCGACGAUCCGUAACUGGUCUGAGAGGAUGAUCAGUCACCCUGGAACUGAGCCACGGUCCAGACUCCUACGGGAGGCAGCGGUGGGGAAUAUUGGGCAAUGGGCGAAAGCCUGAUCCAUCCAUGCCGCGUGUGUGAAGAAGGUCUUCGGAUUGUAAAGCACUUUAAGUUGGGAGGCGUUACCUACAGAAUAAGCACCGGCUAACUUCGUGCCAGCAGCCGCGGUAAUUC